rnacentral:tRNA from 1 species
GGGCAGGUACCCAAGUGGCCAACGGGGGCAGACUGUAAAUCUGCUGGCAUUCGCCUUCGAAGGUUCGAAUCCUUCCCUGCCCA